CUGUUGGAUUCUGCAGGGACCUGAUCAGCUAUUGAGACCCCGCAACCUGAUUGAGGAGCCAACCUGAUCUACGUGCCUUGUGUUUGCUUGACUUGCUUUGGAAGCCGUCUGUGCUUUCCACUGGCGCACCCCAGACUAUCACCCUCCGUGCCAGGCAGGCAAACUAGCCGCCACGCUCCUGUCCCAGAAACUGCAUCGAUUCCUCGCGUGCAUCCUAACUGCAAAUUCUCCAUUAGGACUGCUCUCAUGAACGAGCAUUUGCAGAAUCAGACCCAUGUUAAGGCCUCUAUGCAUCUUUUUAUCAUCUUCUAGGGCACUUUACCUGAAUGCUCCUACCACAGGUACUUCUUCCACCCUGACUCCGAUGCUUUUCCAGGUGCCAAAAACCGGGGUCGGCCUGCUGGGUCACAGAGGUGGCUUCUGCCUGAGGAAGAGCCAUGCCUCACGGCUGACCCAAGUCGUGGAGGUGGUGCGGGUGGGCAGUGAGCACCUCAGACACUGGCAUAUCGGGACUGCUCAGUGCCACAAAGCAACGGGGGACGGUGGCAGCUGGAUUCACAUGCUGAUGCUGCGGCAUCGUUGGUUAAGGAGGCAGUGGAGCAUGUCCAGCGGAGGGAGGAAUCGGGCCUGUGGCACGGGGCGCAGUUACCUUCCCUGAUGUCAACUCCGGCUGGUUCUUUUUCCCUUUGUUUGCCCUCUUUUCUUCUUAAGCAAAUGUGGUGGCCAUAAAUCGUGAAGAUGCUGAUAGAUGUCUUAUCGCUCGCUGCAGGAGGCAUUCAUCCACCGGACCCGUGACCUCCCGCACUGCGUCAGCACUUGGCAGUAGGGGAAGGUCAUGCCUUGUUAUUCCUCAGCAAGUCGCAGAAGGGGUUUCUUUGUUGUGAGGCUCUGACUGCUGAGAGCCAUUCAGGACAGGCAAGUGUAGGCUCUGUAAAUGCCUCCAUCCAUCUCUCCUCCUCGCCUGCUCAUGGGGGAGCUUCAAACUGGCGCUUUCUCACACUAUCAAAACUCAUGCAUUUGUCCCGGUUGCCAGGACCUGCUCUAGCUGGCAAGGAGUGCUUCUUUCUAUACAAGCAUGGGCAUUUCCUUCCACAGACCGAAGCAAAAUGCCCUGGACCAGCUCCGUGCUCCUCAAAUACCCCAUAAUAUUCUGCCUUGGUGCUGGAUGCUCCUUCCUGAAGCUCACUGGGGUUUCUAUGUGAAGGGGGAGAUGUUAGCUGUUCCUCGCCGCCGUCUCGACAUGCUCAGAAUAAAGCAGAGAGGCCGUGGCACUCUUCAGCAGUGCUCUUGGGGACACGUUGCCCACUGAGGCAUGUGCAGACCCAAACUCCAGCCCGUCCUAGUGUUUUUUUUUUUCCCCUGGAUACUGAAAUGUGAAAAAAAGAAAAGCUUCACAAUGAAACUAAUUUAACCAUUGAAUCGGGGGGAGCAGUUUUCCCCCUGUUUCCUCCAACCAGCCCCACGGCCGUGUCUCAAACCAUCUGCAACAGGCGCUCCCAGACCCGGAAAGCAGAGCUGAACAGAGACUGGAGCACUGUCUCAGAUGUUUGCCUGACUACACUGGAAAGCUUUGUGUGGUUUUCCUUUUACCAGGGAUGCCUGGCGUAGCUUCAAGGUUUUAUGGGGUCCAGCUGCAAUUCAGGUUGAUGACAGCGAUGAUGAGGAGUCGGGGUUGUGGGUAUCUCAUGGUCAUUUAGAGAGAAGGUAUCCAAUAUCACUCAGGUAAAGGGUUAGCUGGUGAAUGGCUGUUUAUUAACAUGACGUUGAUGGGCAGCUUUGGGGGUGCAUAACUUGCCUCCAAGUCAGAGAGCUGCUGCUGAGUAAAUGCUAACGAUGGUAUUAGUAGUAUUAGUAUUGUAUUGCAACACUGCCGAGACGGCCCGUGCCAUAGACCAGGAUCAGCUGGGCAGAGCAUUUCUAGUAAUAACUCUGCGCGCUCUUUGCAGGUGCACGGCAGCUCAGAGUCGGGGAAGCACGCUGCGUUUCGCUCGAGGCUUCUCUGGAAUUGGGGCCUCUCUCCAAGGACACGUUUGAGUUGUACACUGCAUUGUGGACAAAACACACCCCACACCCGAUCCCACUGCUGCUACAGAAAUGGAGGUGAUGGGAGGUGGGCUUUGUGCUCUGCUCUGCUUCUUAGACCAGUGGUUCUCAACCAUUUUAGACUCAGGUCCCGCUCUGUCAUUUUUCUGAAUUUAGGAGCACCCUCAGUGGAUGCAGGGAGAGGAAGCACCUCUUUUUCCCUGUGCAAGGGAGAUGUGCCCCCUGCCUUUGCUUCGAUGCAUGAAGCACACGGGCACCCUUGUUCCCUGGGAAGCACUGGGCAGGGAUGGCCCUGUCUGUGGUGGUGUCGUGCCCAGUCCAGGCUCUCAAGCAGGCCAACAUCCACAGCCACAGAGCGACCCAUCCCAUCCGGUUGGGCUGCAGCAUCCUUCCUGCUGCGGCCACAUCCUAGUCCAACCCCACAUGGUAUUUCCUGGAAACAGGUGUGGUGGGGCAGUGCUACCUGGUGGCAGGGGGUUGUCACCCUUAAAUGGAUCUUCUGGCACCUGGUUGGGAAUUACUGCCGUCAGCCUUUGCAACUAGAACAGGUCAGACCACAGCAAAGCGAGUCCUCCGUGCUGCAUACCCACCUCAAGCCUCAUUUCAGCAAACCGAGCCAGCUUGGCACCUGCUAAAGCCUCAAUGGCUUUAUCAGUGGUUAAGAGUUUCAUAGUCGGCUUGGCCAAAUCAAGCCACUGACAUCUUGGGGUGUCUCUGCUCCCUCCUCCCCCACCACCUCCGCUCGAGAGCAAAAUAGACUUUUGUAAGAUCCAAAGUGAACCAAAAAACUGAGAAACCAUCGCAGAAGCAAUGGGGCUGGGACAGGGGUUGUGCAGAGGGGAACGUCAUACGCCAUCUGUGUGCUUGGUGAAAGAUGCAUUGAACUGGUUGGGGGCUGGAAGAUGUGAGUGGAAAGAGGAAUUAAUUAGAAAAAUGUUCAGCAGAAUCCCAGGGUGGGCGGCAAAAGCUGGGGAAAAUAAUAAAAGGCACUAAAUGUCCUGCAUCUAUAGUCACUUCCUCCUUUAAAUCAAUUUAAUUGGGGUUUCUCAGAGUCAUUGAUCAAAAUCUCUUCCAGACAGAGGCUGGUCCUGUUCUCCUCAUCGGCAACGAAAGGCUGGUAACAUUUUUAUUGACGUGCCUCCGCUGAGAGCAGCUGAUAGGGCUCUGCGAGAAUAAGGUACCCUCAGUGAUGGAUAAUCCAGCACCAGCCACAAGUUUUCUGCUCCGAGCGUUGUGGGCUCCCCUGGAUGGCUUCCUAUCUGGUUUUCAUUACAUGCUGAGAGCAUGCCACUUAAUUUGAAGCGACUUGAGCUCGGGGUUCGAGCUGAUGCCUUAUUCCUCUUCCUCCCAGCAACAGCGCUGCUUUUUUCAUGCUUUCUUCAUGGGAGGAAUCCCGUGGUGGGACUGCUCACGUGAGCAAAGGCUCUGAUAAGGAAAAGCUUCAUAUUCAGUCUGAAAGGCAGGUCCCACUGGGCUGAAGCAGAGGCAGUGAGGGUAAGGGUAAUACCUUUGACAAGGGAUCUUUAAUGCACACGUGGGGGUGCAAAUGUGUGCCCAGUGCCCCAGGCCACGCAGCAUGUAUCCACAUCCAUUGGUCAAAUGGUGAAGCGUCAGGUCUAGGCUGUAAGGUGAGAGGCAGAGGAGGGGACACGCGCGUGUGUGAAGUUUGCUCACCCUUGCGUGAACGGCCUUCCCUUGGGGGCAUCUAUUCAGAAAGUGCACUCCUGCAAGGCCUACCUUGCAUUUCAGGGGCCUGCAGCUUUGCGCACUUCGUAAAUCCUUUUGCUAAUUAUUUGCCGCAUUGUUUCUUCUUCUGUUAGCUCUGGAGACCUUUACAUAAAACAGAAAAUACCGAUCAGGCCAGUUUAAUUUGGGGCUGUGUCUGUUGUGCCGUGUUCCUCAGGCCCUGAGUGCGACGGAUGCCACAAUGACAGGCAACGUGCUGCUUGCUUUGCUAGCACCCAUCACCUGAAGG